rnacentral:lncRNA from 1 species
AGGAUCGUCGUCUUGGAGCAAUUCAGCUUGUGUUCUUCGGAGAUCUGUUGAACAAGAAUAGGAAAGCGCAACCCCAACAACGUCAAGAAGAGCAUCUGGCAGCUCCUCUGCGGCUGUGGGUCGCCUCAGACCAGCAACUAAUUAAGAUCGGAAGAGCAUCUGUCAGCUCCUGUGGCUUUGGUCGCCGGAAGUUGCUUGAUGUUGAGUCUAAAAAAUGUACUCCCUUUAUACCUAAAUAAUUAUUGUUGGAAA